rnacentral:rRNA from 1 species
CCUACGGGAGGCAGCAGUGGGGAAUAUUGGACAAUGGGGGGAACCCUGAUCCAGCGACGCCGCGUGAGGGAAGAAGUAUUUCGGUAUGUAACGCUCUAUCAGCAGGGAAGAAAGAAAUGACGGACCCUGUCUAAGAAGCCCCGGCGAAAUACGUGCCAGCAGCCGCGGUAAUACGUAGGGGGCAAGCGUUAGCCGGAUUUACUGGGUGUAACGGGAGCGUAGACGGCGAUGCAAGUCUGAAGUGAAAGGCCGGGGCCCAACCUCCGGACUGCUUUGGAAACUGUAUGGCUGGAGUGCAGGAGAGGUAAGUGGAAUUCCUAGUGUAGCGGUGAAAUGCGUAGAUAUUAGGAAGAACACCAGUGGCGAAGGCGGCUUACUGGACUGUAACUGACGUUGAGGCUCGAAAGCGUGGGGAGCAAACAGGAUUAGAUACCCGAGUAGUC